AGAGCGAACGCUGGCGGCAGGCCUAACACAUGCAAGUCGAACGAACUCUUCGGAGUUAGUGGCGGACGGGUGAGUAACACGUGGGAACGUGCCUUUUGGUUCGGAAUAACUCAGGGAAACUUGUGCUAAUACCGAAUGUGCCCUUCGGGGGAAAGAUUUAUCGCCAUUAGAGCGGCCCGCGUCUGAUUAGCUAGUUGGUGAGGUAAAGGCUCACCAAGGCGACGAUCAGUAGCUGGUCUGAGAGGAUGAUCAGCCACAUUGGGACUGAGACACGGCCCAAACUCCUACGGGAGGCAGCAGUGGGAAUCUUGCGCAAGUGGGACGAAAGCCUGACGCAGCCAUGCCGCGUGAAUGAUAGGAAGGUCGUUAGGAUUAGUUAAAAUUUCUUACAACCGGGGACGUAUAAGUGAACCGGUACCCGGAGAAAGGAACG
rnacentral:rRNA from 1 species